UCACGCAUCGCGUCUCCCCCAAAUCCACCCCGAGUGGAGGGGAAGGAGGAUGGUCUCCCGCGACUCACCGGUCGCGGCUGGCCUAAAAUUGGAGCCCUCGGCAUCGGGAUGCUGCGGCGAUAGGUGGUGAACAAGGCCUUGGCCGAGCAAGCAACCCGUCGCGCAUCGCCAUGCCAAUGUGAGCUCGAAGGACCCUUUGAUGUUGCCUAAUAGCAACCAAACCUUUGCGAC
rnacentral:rRNA from 1 species